ACACCGUGGGAUGUAAGGAGCUCUCUGAUUGGUUGGUCAGACACAGGCUGUCUGCCAGCCUGGAUUUUUCUUGCUCAUAGCUUCGCCCUGCUAAGAAGCGUGUGUGCUUGUACAAAGGCCGUUCAGCCUCGGGAUUUACACUCGGCUCGACACGGAUAUGUGAAGAAUGAAGGGACCCUGCAGCGAAACGGAGAGCCAACCUCUGACUGAGUGCCUGUUUACACAGUCUGACCACCUGUUGAAGGGCUGUUUGAUGACGAUUUGGACUCCUCUGGGAGACGAGGACACACCCACAUCUGUUCCAUACUGCAGCCAUGGAUGGUGUUACGGCUCUGAGUCAGCUUUGGGGCAUCAGACGCACACACUGGAAAACCAGCACCUGGACUUCAUGCAGGAGAGACGGCCUCAGUGAUAAUUCAUCAGCAGCUGUGGAGAGAUGCAUUUGAAUAUCUUCUGGUUCCACUUUUCCUUACCUGGAAGCUGAGUAUUGCUGAUUUCUGACAAGGACACAAACCUCAGCGCUUAUCAUGGGUGUUACAUCCUCUGUGCAGCAAUUCCAGAGAAAACGAGAGAGCAACGACCACUCAUCAAGACCAGCCAGAAAGCUGUCCCUUUCUGGCAGCUGUGGAAACUUCCAAUAAGAAAGUUUGCAUUCUUAGA